AGUGAAGAAAAGAAGAGAGUGGAUGAGUUACCCAAGAUAUAUCCAUCAAGAGUCUCAUUUUCUUCAGCCUUAGAAGCCAGUUCUUCCACUUUAGAAUUACCUUCUCCUUCAGAAUUAAAAUUAUCUUUGAUCACAUUUGAGAAUACAUGUUUAAAAUCAACUGACACCCUUUCAGCACCCAUUAUUUCAAACUCAACUCCUAACCU
rnacentral:lncRNA from 1 species